rnacentral:rRNA from 1 species
UACGGAGGGGGCUAGCGUUGUUCGGAUUUAUUGGGCGUAAAGGGCGCGUAGGCGGCUAGGCAAGUCAGAUGUGAAAGCCCCGGGCUUAACUCGGGAAUUGCAUCUGAAACUGCUGGGCUUGAGUUCUGGAGGGGGUAGUGGAAUUCCCAGUGUAGCGGUGAAAUGCGUAGAGAUGGGGGAGAACACUCGUGGCGAAGGCGGCCAGCUAGACCAGUUCUGACACUGAGGCGCGACAGCGUGGGGAGCAAACAGG